AACGCUAGCGGCAGGCUUAACACAUGCAAGUCGAGGGGUAACAUUGUGCUUGCACAGAUGACGACCGGCGCACGGGUGCGUAACGCGUAUAGAACCUACCUUUUACAGAGGAAUAGCCUUUAGAAAUGAAGAUUAAUGCCUCAUGGUAUUGUAGACUGGCAUCAGUUUAUAAUUAAAGAUUUAUCGGUAAAAGAUGGCUAUGCGUCCUAUUAGUUAGUUGGUAAGGUAACGGCUUACCAAGACAGCGAUAGGUAGGGGUCCUGAGAGGGAGAUCCCCCACACUGGUACUGAGACACGGACCAGACUCCUACGGGAGGCAGCAGUGAGGAAUAUUGGACAAUGGAGGAGACUCUGAUCCAGCCAUGCCGCGUGUAGGAAGAAUGCCCUAUGGGUUGUAAACUACUUUUAUACAGGAAGAAACACUGGUAUGUAUACCAGCUUGACGGUACUGUA
rnacentral:rRNA from 1 species